rnacentral:rRNA from 1 species
UACGAAGGGUGCAAGCGUUACUCGGAAUUACUGGGCGUAAAGCGUGCGUAGGUGGUUGUUUAAGUCUGUUGUGAAAGCCCUGGGCUCAACCUGGGAAUUGCAGUGGAUACUGGGCGACUAGAGUGUGGUAGAGGGUAGUGGAAUUCCCGGUGUAGCAGUGAAAUGCGUAGAGAUCGGGAGGAACAUCCAUGGCGAAGGCAGCUACCUGGACCAACACUGACACUGAGGCACGAAAGCGUGGGGA